GGGGUGUGCUCAGAGCAGGGGGCCUAGAGAAUGGCUCAUCUGUUUACAACACACCCAACAGGAAUUUGGGGUCACUGUGACAAGGAGCACAAAAUGUGUGGCUUCCCUACGAACAAAUGCCCUAUACAU
rnacentral:snoRNA from 1 species